rnacentral:snRNA from 1 species
GGAUGUAAAGGAGAAUUGACUGUGAUCAUGGUCACCCCAUUGAUCACCAGGGUUGAUUUGGCUGAUUUGGCAGGCGAGGCUGGUGUCCCCUUCCUCCCUCACUGUUCCGUGUAUGUCCCUCCCAAACCUGCACACCCAGUGGGAAAAGAUGAGCACUCCUGAUAGAGGAGGACCAUGUCCUCAGUCAAGGGUAUACAAGUACUGCACUCCCCUCCUAGACUUACAGAUAAGCUAUCAAGGUUUCUUCAUUUUUGAAGAGAUUUCUGAGUCCUUUUCCACUGGCACUGU